GGGGAUGUAGCUCACUUGGUAGAGUGCUUGCCUCGAAUGCAUAAGGCCCUGGGUUCAAUCCCCAGCAUCACAC
rfam:Ictidomys tridecemlineatus contig058545, whole genome shotgun sequence.